rnacentral:rRNA from 1 species
UGCAGGGACGAAGAAUGUGACGGUACCUGCAGAGAAAGCCCCGGCUAACUACGUGCCAGCAGCCGCGGUAAUACGUAGGGGGCGAGCGUUGUCCGAAUUUACUGGGCGUAAAGCGCGUGUAGGCGGCCCUUUAAGUCAGGUGUGAAAUCCUGUGGCUCAACCACAGAACAGCACCUGAAACUGGGGGACUUGAGCCUGGGAGAGGAGAGUGGAAUUCCUGGUGUAGCGGUGAAAUGCGUAGAUAUCAGGAGGAACACCCGUGGCGAAGGCGGCUCUCUGGCCCAGUACUGACGCUGAGACGCGAAAGCUAGGGGAGCGAACGGGAUUAGAUACCCCGGUAGUCCUAGCCGUAAACGAUGGACACUAGGUGUUAGUGGUAUCGACCCCACUAGUGCCGUAGCUAACGCAUUAAGUGUCCCGCCUGGGGAGUACGGCCGCAAGGUUGAAACUCAAAGGAAUUGACGGGGGCCCGCACAAGCAGUGGAGCAUGUGGCUUAAUUCGAUACUAACCGAAGAACCUUACCAGGGUUUGACAUUCGCUGUAAGUCCAUGAAAGUGGUU